rnacentral:ribozyme from 1 species
UAAAAGAGCAAUUCUGCCAAUUUGAUGGAACCAAUUCCCCUCGAGGGAUGAUAUAGACUCUCCUAUCUACUCUUACUUAAUACGUCCAAUGCGUACAGAAGGGUAACGUACUAUUCCGAACAUUCAAGCUAGAGUAAAUGGGAUUACCCUUUGGAAGGAUAGAUGAAAUGGAUGAAUUGAGAUGG